GACGAACGCUGGCGGCGUGCUUAACACAUGCAAGUCGAACGGAAAGGCCCUGCUUUUGUGGGGUGCUCGAGUGGCGAACGGGUGAGUAACACGUGAGUAACCUGCCCUUGACUUUGGGAUAACUUCAGGAAACUGGGGCUAAUACCGGAUAGGAGCUCCUGCUGCAUGGUGGGGGUUGGAAAGUUUCGGCGGUUGGGGAUGGACUCGCGGCUUAUCAGCUUGUUGGUGGGGUAGUGGCUUACCAAGGCUUUGACGGGUAGCCGGCCUGAGAGGGUGACCGGCCACAAUGGGACUAAGGUACGGCCCAGACGCCUACGGGAGGCAACAGGGGAGAAUAUUGCACAAUGGGCGGAAGCCUGAUGCAGCAACGCCGCGUGCGGGAUGACGGCCUUCGGGUUGUAAACCGCUUUCGCCUGUGACGAAGCGUGAGUGACGGUAAUGGGUAAAGAAGCACCGGCUAACUACGUG
rnacentral:rRNA from 1 species